UGGGGAAUAUUGCACAAUGGGCGCAAGCCUGAUGCAGCCAUGCCGCGUGUAUGAAGAAGGCCUUCGGGUUGUAAAGUACUUUCAGUCGGGAGGAAGGUGUCAAGGUUAAUAACCUUGGCGAUUGACGUUACCCGCAGAAGAAGCACCGGCUAACUCCGUGCCAGCAGCCGCGGUAAUACGGAGGGUGCAAGCGUUAAUCGGAAUUACUGGGCGUAAAGCGCACGCAGGCGGUCUGUCAAGUCGGAUGUGAAAUCCCCGGGCUCAACCUGGGAACUGCAUUCGAAACUGGCAGGCUAGAGUCUUGUAGAGGGGGGUAGAAUUCCAGGUGUAGCGGUGAAAUGCGUAGAGAUCUGGAGGAAUACCGGUGGCGAAGGCGGCCCCCUGGACAAAGACUGACGCUCAGGUGCGAAAGCGUGGGGAGCAAACAGG
rnacentral:rRNA from 1 species